rnacentral:rRNA from 1 species
UUGGGAUUAGAUACCCCACUAUGCUUAGCCGUAAACCUAAAUAGWCACAAAACAAGACUAUUCGCCAGAGUACUACUAGCAACAGCCUAAAACUCAAGGGACUUGGCGGUGCUUCAUAUCCCCCUAGAGGAGCCUGUUCUAUAAUCGAUAAACCCCGAUCAACCUCACCAGCCCUUGCUACUUCAGUCUAUAUACCGCCAUCUUCAGCAAACCCUAAAAGGGAACAAGAGUAAGCAUAACUAUCCUACGUAAAAACGUUAGGUCAAGGUGUAACCUAUGGGGUGGGAAGAAAUGGGCUACAUUUUCUAUACCAAGAACAUCCUUAACUCUUACACGAAAGUUUUUAUGAAACCUAAAAACUAAAGGAGGAUUUAGCAGUAAAUUAAGAGCAGAGCGCUUAAUUGAAUAAGGCCAUGAAGCACGCACACACCGCCCGUC